GUGUGUGAUAGGUAUGUUGACAUAUGUUGACUUGCUGAGGAAACAGUAUCAGCAAAAGCAGAAAGGCAUGACGCAGCAUGGUGUGUGCAAAGAUAUAUAAGUAGUUUGGGUUUCCAGAGAUGAGGUCGUGGGGAUUUGGUGAGGACAAAGCUCGGGGGGCCCUUAACUGCUUUUUGUUUGUUUGUUUGUUUUUGCGUGUGAUGGAAAAAAAAUUUAAGAAGGGGUAGCGAGGUUGGAUUUACAUUUUAUGUAAAUCACUUUGGCUUCCCCUUCACCUGCUCUACUCUUUAUGCAGGUAACCACAUUCCCCAGGCUUCCAUGCAUCAUGAGUUCCAGGUAGGUUUGGUCAAUGGAAGGGAGAGGUAGAGAUUGGAAGUCUGGAGAAGAGAAGUCAGGGCAUUCAUGUAUCCCUACCCCCACUGUUGCCUGUUGUGGGGUUUGUUGAGGCAGCUGUACAUCCUCCAGGCUCCGACUCUCUCCAACCUGCACUGCCACGGCUCUGUCUCCUGCUGCCAAUCCUUGGUUUCUCAGUUCGGACAGUACCACCUCCGGUCCUAGGAGCCCUGCUUCUGCCUUUGCUCAUCUCCAGGUUCUUCAUCAUCCAUCAUUUCCUGUCUCAGCUUUUCCCUUUGCCCUGUCACAUCAUCUCUGCUUAAAAGCCAAGAGCUACUCUUUUCUUUUCUUCCCGGAUGGACAUUAAUUGACCUAGGGGGUUAAGUUGGAGAAACGAAAACCCAUCAGGAAGCCACUGAGAUAGUUCAAGUGAGAAAUCCUCAGGACCUCACCCGAAGCAGUGGUUGUAGGGACAGAGCGAAACGUAUCUAGUAAUAGUCUCUUGGAGAUAAAAUUGAUAAGACUUGAUGAUUGACUAGAUGAGUUGCUAAGAGAAAGAGGGAUGGGAGAGAAGGGGGAUCUAGGGUAGAUUCCUGGUUCUUUUUAAAAAUUAUGUAUUUAUUUUGGCAGAGAGAGAGAGAGAGAGAGAGAGAAUCCCAAGCAGGCUCCGCAGUGUCAGCACAGAGCCUGACGCAAGGCUCCAUCCCACAAACUGUGAGAUCAUGACCUGAGCCGAGAUCAAGCGUCGGACACUCAACAGACUGAGCCACCCAGGACUUUCAGGAUCAAGCAAUUCCUGGCCAAGAAACAAAAGCAGAAUGGUCCCAUUCCCCAGGGGAUUUGGAUGAAAAGUGGUAAUGAAAUCAGGUGCAACUCCAGGAGGAAGCCCUGGAUGGAGAAGAACCAAGCUGGGUCUGUGAGGGAUCACACAGGAGAUGGCACAUGUAUUCAUACCGCAGGAGGGCUCAUGCUCGUACCCUAUCACACUGUAAACACCGCCACCACCUGAACAAUAGACAUGUUUUAUUGGGGAAAUGAUUUUCCUCUAUUGCUAUGCUUCUGGACAAGUAGGUUGGUUCAGUAAUAAAUAUGUGAGAUCUU